rnacentral:lncRNA from 1 species
ACAGCAAAUCAGGAGGCGUGUCACACUGAGGCAGCCAAUCAGGAAGCCUUUGACACUCAGCAGCCAAUUAGGAGGCGUGUAACACUCAGCCAACCAAUCAGGAGGCGUGUAACACUCAGGCAGCCAAUCAGGAGGCCUUUGACAUUCAGCCAGCCAAUCAGGAGACGUUUAACACUCAGCCAACCAAUCAGGAGGCAUGUAACACUCAGCCAGCCAAUAAGGAGGCGUGUCACACUCAGACAGCGAAUCAGGGGGCUUGUAACACUCAGCCAGCCAAUCAGGAGGCGUGUAACACUCAGCCAGCCAAUAAGGAGGCGUGUCACAAUCAGCCAGCCAAUCAGGAGGCGUGUAACACUCAGCCAGCCAAUCAGGAGGCGUGUCACAAUCAGCCAGCCAAUCAGGAGGCGUAUAACACUCAGCCAGCCAAUCAGGAGGCGUGUAACAAUUAGCCAGCAUGUCAGGAGGCGUGUAACACUCAGCCAGCCAAUCAGGAGGCCUGUAACACUCAGCCAGCCAAUCAUGAUGCGUGUAACACUCAGCCAGCCAAUAAGGAGGCGUGUCACAAGCAGCCAGCCAAUCAGGAGGCGUGUAACACUCAGCCAGCAAAUCAGGAGGCGUGUAACACUCAGCCAGCAUAUCAGGAGGCGUGUAACACUUAGACAGCCAAUCAGGGGGCGUGUAACACUCAAACAGCCAAUCAGGAGGCGUGUAACACUUAGACAGCCAAUCAGCGGGCGUGUAACACUCAGACAGCCAAUCAGGAGGCGUGUAACACUCAGCCAGCCAAUCAGGAGGCGUGUAACACUCAGCCAGCCAAUAAGGAGGCGUAUCACAAUCAGCCAGCCAAUCAUGAGGCGUUUAACACGUAGACAGCCAAUCAGGGGGCGUGUAACACUCAGACAGCCAAUCAGGAGGCGUGUAACACUCAGCUAGCCAAUCAGGAGGCGUGUAACACAUAGACAGCCAAUCAGUGGGCGUGUAACAAACAGCCAGCCAAUCAGGAGGCGUGUAAUACUCAGCCAGCCAUUCAGGCGGCGUGUCACACUCAGCUAGCCAAUCAGGAGUUGUGUAACACUCAGCCAGCAAAUCAGGAGGCGUGUAACACUCAGGCAGCCAAUCAGGAGGCGUGUAACACUCAGAUAGCCAAUCAGGAGGCGUGUAACACUCAGCCAACCAAUCAGGAGGCGUGUAACACUCAGCCAGCCAAUCAGGAAGAGUGUAAAAAUCUGCUAGCCAAUCAGGAGGCGUGUGACAUUCAGACAGCAAAUCAGGGGGCAAGUACCACUUAGCCAGCCAAUCAGGGGGCGCGUAACACUAAGCCAGCCAAUCAGGAAGCGUGUAAAAAUCUGCUAGCCAAUCAGGACGCAUGUAAAACUCAGACAGCCAAUAAGGAGGCGUGUCACACUCAGGCAGCCAAGUAGGAGGUGUGUAACACUCAGGCAGCAAAUCAGGAGGCAUGUAACACUCAGCCAGCCAAUCAGGAGUUGUGUAACACUAGACCAGCCAAUCAGCAGGCGUGUCACACUCAGCCAGCCAAUCAGGAGGCGUGUACCACUCAGGCAGCCAAUCAGGAGGCGUGUAACAGUCAGCUACCAAUCAGGAGGCGUGUAACACUCAGCCAACCAAUCAGGAGGCGUGUAACACUCAGGCAGCCAAUCAGGAGGCCUUUGACAUUCAGCCAGCCAAUCAGGAGACGUUUAACACUCAGCCAACCAAUCAGGAGGCAUGUAACACUCAGCCAGCCAAUAAGGAGGCGUGUCACACUCAGACAGCGAAUCAGGGGGCUUGUAAC